AGUGGGGGAAUAAUUGCACCAAUGGGCGAAAGCCUGAUGCAGCAACGCCGCGGUGAGGGAUGACGGCUUCGGGUUGUAAACCUCUUUAGUAGGGAAGAAGCGAGAGUGACGGUACCUGCAGAAAAAGCACCGGCUAACUACGUGCCAGCAGCCGCGGUAAUACGUAGGGUGCAAGCGUUGUCCGGAAUUAUUGGGCGUAAAGAGCUCGUAGGCGGUUUGUCGCGUCUGCUGUGAAAUCCCGAGGCUCAACCUCGGGCUUGCAGUGGGUACGGGCAGACUAGAGUGCGGUAGGGGAGAUUGGAAUUCCUGGUGUAGCGGUGGAAUGCGCAGAUAUCAGGAGGAACACCGAUGGCGAAGGCAGAUCUCUGGGCCGUAACUGACGCUGAGGAGCGAAAGCGUGGGGAGCGAACAGGAUUAGAUACCCUGGUAGUCCACGCCGUAAACGUUGGGCGCUAGAUGUAGGGACCUUUCCACGGUUUCUGUGUCGUAGCUAACGCAUUAAGCGCCCCGCCUGGGGAGUACGGCCGCAAGGCUAAAACUCAAAGGAAUUGACGGGGGCCCGCACAAGCGGCGGAGCAUGCGGAUUAAUUCGAUGCAACGCGAAGAACCUUACCAAGGCUUGACAUACACCGGAAACGGCCAGAGAUGGUCGCCCCCUUGUGGUCGGUGUACAGGUGGUGCAUGGUUGUCGUCAGCUCGUGUCGUGAGAUGUUGGGUUAAGUCCCGCAACGAGCGCAACCCUCGUUCUAUGUUGCCAGCGCGUUAUGGCGGGGACUCAUAGGAGACUGCCGGGGUCAACUCGGAGGAAGGUGGGGAUGACGUCAAAUCAUCAUGCCCCUUAUGUCUUGGGCUUCACGCAUGCUACAAUGGCCGGUACAAAGGGCUGCGAUACCGUAAGGUGGAGCGAAUCCCAAAAAGCCGGUCUCAGUUCGGAUUGAGGUCUGCAACUCGACCUCAUGAAGUCGGAGUCGCUAGUAAUCGCAGAUCAGCAACGCUGCGGUGAAUACGUUCCCGGGCCUUGUACACACCGCCCGUCAAGUCAUGAAAGUCGGUAACACCCGAAGCCGGUGGCCUAACCCUUGUGGGAGGAGCCGUACG
rnacentral:rRNA from 1 species